GAGUCAGGAAGUGGGAGCGUGAACAUCUUCCAUCACUCAGUCCCCACAAGGCAGCUGCCUCACGCUUUGGAAAGUGAGAGAGAUACAUCAGAGCCCUGGGCGCUGUCACUGC